rnacentral:rRNA from 1 species
AGUGGCAAACGGGUGAGUAACACGUGGGUUACCUGCCUUCAAGAUGGGGAUAACAGUUGGAAACGAUUGCUAAUACCGAAUGUGAUCUACGGAUUAAAGAAGCCUUUAAAGCUUCGCUUGAAGAUGGGCCUGCGGUGCAUUAGCUAGUUGGUGAGGUAACGGCCCACCAAGGCGACGAUGCAUAGCCGAACUGAGAGGUUAAUCGGCCACAUUGGGACUGAGACACGGCCCAAACUCCUACGGGAGACAGCAGUUAGGAAUAUUCGUCAAUGGGGGGAACCCUGAACGAGCAAUGCCGCGUGAGUGAUGACGGUCCUCUGGAUUGUAAAACUCUGUUGUUUGGAAAGAACUGUAAGAAGAGGAAAUGCUUCUUACUUGACGGUACCAUUCAAGAAAGCCACGGCUAACUACGUGCCAGCAGCCGCGGUAAUACGUAGGUGGCGAGCGUUAUCCGGAUUUAUUGGGCGUAAAGCGUCCGCAGCCGGUUUAUUAAGUCUAGAAUAAAAGCCUGGAGCUUAACUCCAGUUCGUUCUAGAAACUGAUAUACUUGAGUGUAGUAGAAGGCAAAUGGAAUUUCUAGUGUAGCGGUAAAAUGCGUAGAUAUUAGAAGGAACACCAGUGGCGAAGGCGAUUUGCUAGGCUAUUACUGACGGUCAGGGACGAAAGCGUGGGGAGCAAAUAGGAUUAGAUACCCUGGUAGUCCACGCCGUAAACGAUGAUUACUAGGUGUCGGGAGACAAAGUCUUCCGGUGCCGCCGCUAACGCAGUAAGUAAUCCACCUGGGGAGUACGUUCGCAAGAAUGAAACUCAAAGGAAUUGACGGGGACCCGCACAAGCGGUGGAGCAUGUGGUUUAAUUCGAAGCAACGCGAAGAACCUUACCAAGUCUUGACAUCCUCCUGAAUAUCCUUUAACAGGGAUAGGCCUUCGGGACAGGAGAGACAGGUGGUGCAUGGUUGUCGUCAGCUCGUGUCGUGAGAUGUUGGGUUAAGUCCCGCAACGAGCGCAACCCUUAUCCUCAGUAGCCAGCAGUAAGAUGGGAACUCUGGGGAGACUGCCGGGGAUAACCCGGAGGAAGGUGGGGAUGACGUCAAAUCAUCAUGCCCCUUAUGACUUGGGCUACACACGUGCUACAAUGGCAUAAACAGAGGGAAGCGAGCCCGUGAGGGGGAGCCAAUCCCAAAAAUAACGUCCCAGUUCGGAUUGUAGUCUGCAACUCGACUACAUGAAGCUGGAAUCGCUAGUAAUCGCGAAUCAGAAUGUCGCGGUGAAUACGUUCCCGGGUCUUGCACACACCGCCCGUCA